rnacentral:rRNA from 1 species
GUGAGGAAUUUUCCGCAAUGGGCGAAAGCCUGACGGAGCAAUGCCGCGUGAAGGAUGAAGGCCUAUGGGUUGUAAACUUCUUUUCUUAGAGAAGAAUAUUGACGGUAUCUGAGGAAUAAGCACCGGCUAACUCCGUGCCAGCAGCCGCGGUAAUACGGAGGGUGCAAGCGUUAUCCGGAUUCACUGGGUUUAAAGGGUGCGUAGGUGGAUUGGUAAGUCAGAGGUGAAAUCUCCGGGCUCAACUCGGAAACUGCCUUUGAUACUAUCAAUCUUGAAUAUUGUGGAGGUUAGCGGAAUAUGUCAUGUAGCGGUGAAAUGCUUAGAUAUGACAUAGAACACCAAUUGCGAAGGCAGCUGGCUACACAUAUAUUGACACUGAGGCACGAAAGCGUGGGGAUCAAACAGGAUUAGAAACCCUGGUAGUCC